rnacentral:rRNA from 1 species
UUGACGGGGGCCCGCACAAGCGGCGGAGCAUGCGGAUUAAUUCGAUGCAACGCGAAGAACCUUACCAAGGCUUGACAUGUUCUCGAUCGCCGUAGAGAUACGGUUUCCCCUUUGGGGCGGGAUCACAGGUGGUGCAUGGUUGUCGUCAGCUCGUGUCGUGAGAUGUUGGGUUAAGUCCCGCAACGAGCGCAACCCUCGUUCCAUGUUGCCAGCACGUCAUGGUGGGGACUCAUGGGAGACCGUUCGGGGUCAACUCGGAGGAAGGUGGGGACGACGUCAAAUCUUCAUGCCCCUUAUGUCUUGGGCUUCACGCAUGCUACAAUGGCCGGUACAAUGGGUUGCGAUACUGUGAGGUGGAGCUAAUCCCAAAAAGCCGGUCUCAGUUCGGAUUGGGGUCUGCAACCUCGACCCCAUGAA